rnacentral:misc_RNA from 1 species
GACAAAAUCUCAUUUGAGCAGUUGAAUUCAUGACUAACAACCAGCAUCUUUCCCAUCUGAGGAUCCAAAGGAAACUCACUCAUGAUUUCCCCAAGCUUUGUCAAGUUUCCAUCAUCAUCCAAUGCUCCCAAGUAAUUUAGCACCUCUAAUGCUCGCAUCAAUGUCUCAGGAGCCGGUGGGUCCAUAAAAUCAAAAUGCACCAGAUCAUCAAUUCCAAGUUUCUUCAGUGUUAGAACUGUAUUUGCAAGGUUUGAUCGCAGUAUUUCCGGAUAAGUCUGUGGCUGAAGAUCUUGAUGAAAACUUUUCUCCGUGUAAAGUCUAAAACAUUUGCCUGGCUGAGUUCUUCCAGCACGACCUGACCUCUGAUGAGCACUUGCCUUUGAUAUUGGGGAAACCAACAAGGAUUCAACACGCACUCGUGGGUUAUAAACCUUUUGCUUAGCAAAGCCUGGGUCAAUAACAUAAACAAUGCCGUCUAUGGUCAAAGAAGUUUCUGCUAUGUUUGUUGAAACCACAAUCUUCCUUCCAGCAGGGCCACCUUCUGUCAAUGGGGGUGGUGCAGAUUCAAAAAUUUUCUGCUGCAUGGCAGGUGGAAGAGUUGAAUACAAAGGCACUGCUUUCACUGGCCCCACCUGGUCCCCCAAAUUUCCGAUCUCUUUUGUUAUUUUCCGGCAUGCAUCUUCUAUCUCCUCCUCACCUGUGAGGAAAACAAGUAUGUCCCCAGUAGGUUCAUACAUAUGUAUCUGAACAACUGUA